GUUUUAAUAAUUUAACAAAAAUAUUGGUCUUGUAAACCAAAAAUAAGGAAUCAACUUUUAAAGCU
rnacentral:tRNA from 1 species